AGUUGGACACUAUGGUCGAAGUUGUUUACUAGAUAGUAGAUAGAUAUUGAUACUCUAUGGUUUUGUUCACGGCGGUUAUGUUAAAUUGUGGAAGGAGCGCCGGAGUGUAUGGGCCAUGGGUUGUUACAGGUUGUUCCAGUGUUGGACAUAUUACUCUACUUGGAUUCGGAAAUAUCAUGCUGGCACAGUCGUCAGUCCCAACAACUACGACACUAAGCAUUCAUCUGUGCAGUAAGUGCUUGUGGAGCACCUCAGUGUAAAGUCAAGUGCCGACUUGCCAGUCGGGAACAAGCAAGCAGAGAGGGCUGUGAAAAAGACGUCGGCCAGUUGCAUGCUGACUGACCCUUCUCCAGGACAACAAUGCGACCGCAGCGGCCUCUAUGCAAAGAUACCAUAAGAGCCACAGCUCAUUUCUACAGAAGCCUCAAGAGCAGCAAGCCGACUAGAAGUGUCAACUAUAUUACUUCAUUCAUAUUAGGCUUUUUAUAUACUGAAGAACUUGCUUAUUGUCUUGCUUGCGACACAUCUGUGUAACUGAAACCAUCAGAACGCGUCGACUGCUGUGGAAUACAGAUUUGGAGGAGUGUAGAGACAGCAAUUUAAAGGAGACAGCAUGGGGUGAAAUAGCAGAGCAACUGGGACAAAAUAAGGCAAAUUUGAAAGAGGAAUGGAGGAAAUUACGUGACCGCCACCGCCAAGCUCUCUUCCGGAAGACUAAGUCAGGCCAAUCAGCUACAAAAUGCAAGCCAUGGAGAUACGAACAACAAAUGGAGUUCCUUGUUACAACAGUGGAACAUAGGAAGUGUGACACUAAUAUCCCUCCAAUGGACCAAAUUGUUGUUGGGGGAACAGUCCCUGACUGGGACAGUCCUCUCACUCCAGUAGAUGAAAGCAUUACUGAUACAGGGGAGAAUGAAGAGACUAGUCCCCUUCCCUCUACUAAUGUGUCAACACCAGUUGAAUCCCGUUACCAUCACCACAAACAUAUGGACAAAUUAAUUAAUUAUUUGCAAGAAUAACAGAGCACCAAAAGAAGUGCAACAAAAGCUGAUGACUUGGACUUAUUUUUUGCCUGUGCUUGCAAGUCCACUCGUUUGCUCCCUCAUUUUUUCCAUUAAAAAUAUUUAAAAUUGGCCUUUGGUUCCUUUGUACAUCAAGGAAAAUAACAUCUUUUUUUUGGAAAAUUUAAUGUAAUUCUAUAGAUAAAACAUCAAAUGAGAGCAGAGGAACACACAUCUAUCAGAUAUCACAGGUUGUAAGCUUUUGGAGCCAGUGGCUCCUCCUUGCAGCAGAGGGGUUGAAGGGGAAGGAGGAGAGGUGAAGAAAUAGGACUGGCGAGGUUUAGAAAAAGGAGUAGAGUUCGGAAAAGUUUCAAAGAACCCUGGGUCAGAGGAGACUUAUCAAACGGGAUAAGAGGGAAAGACUGAGCGAGUGUCGUUGCUGAACUCUGCCACUUUUCCUAAACUUCACCAGUCCUUUUAUAUUCACUACUCUCCCUUCCCCUUGAACCCUUCUGCCAGAAGCAGCAGCCACUGGCUGGCCUUUUUCUGCCUCGGUAAAGGGGUAAAACUCAAUGGUACUAGGGGCAAGUAAGGCUAGCAACCUGUUUCCCUGGUAUUUUAAAUAUGAUGCUGGCAACAAUCAGAGCAAAAUGACUCGGACCUUUGAAGGUGACGGAGUCCCACUUCUAGCUGACAAACCAGGAACUCAUAAGAUACAACUUGGCAAACAAAUGGUAAUGAGAUGGGGUGCUAUUAACAUCAACUACUCUGGAAAGAAGGUAGAGCUGGCAGAGGCUGCAAGUAAGAUGGAGUUAGACGUUUUAGCUAUUAGUGACAUUCGGGUAAGGGGUGAGAAAGAAGAGGAAGUGGGAGAAUACAAGGUCUACCUGUCAGGAGUCAAAGCAGGAAUAGCACAAUGGGGUGUAGGGCUUUACAUCAGGAAAGAAAUGGAACCCAGUGUAGUUGCAAUAAGGUGCAACAAAUGACUGAUGUGGAUAGAUUUGACAGUGUCUAGCAAGAAAAUUAGGAUUGUGUCAUUAUAUUCGCGUUGUGAAGGGACAGAUCAAGAUAAGAUGGAUAGUUUUUAUGAUGCACUCAGUGAUGUAGUUGUUAGCGUAAAGGACAAGGACAGUGUUCUGCUCAUGGGUGAUUUUAAUGCCAGGAUUGGAAAUCAAACAGAAGGGUACGAAAAGGUUAUGGGUAAAUUUGGAGAGGAUAUGGGCGCCAACCAGAACGAUAAACAACUCUUAGAUUUCUGUGCCAGUAUGGGCUUAGUAAUCACAAACUCCUUUUUUAAACAUAAGAACAUUCACAGGUAUACUUGGGAAGGCAGGGGAACCAGAUCUGUCAUUGACUAUAUAAUAACAGAUCAGGAAUUCAGGAAGGCUGUGAGGGACACACAUGUAUUCCGGGGAUUCUUUGAUGACACUGAUCAUUAUUUAAUCUGCAGCGAAAUUGGGAUUGUAGGGCCGAAGGUGCAGGAGGUCAGGUCAAUAUGUAGGAGGAUAAGACUGGAGAAACUUCAGGAUAAGGAAAUCAGGCACAAGUACAUAAAAGUGAUCUCAGAAAGGUACCAGUUAGUUGAAUGUAGUCAAUUAUAGUCAUUGGAAAAGGAAUGGACAAGGUACAGGGACACAGUACUACAAGUAGCUAAAGAAUGUCUUGGAACAGUAGUGUGUAAAGGUAGUAUGAAGCAAACAGCUUGGUGGAAUGACUCAGUCAAGGCAGCCUGUAAAACGAAAAAGAAGGCGUAUCAAAAAUGGCUACAUACUAAAAAUCAGGUAGACAGAGAAAGUUAUGUUGAAGAAAGAAACAAAGCCAAACAGAUAAUUGCAGCAUCCAAGAAUAAAUCUUGGGAAGUCUUUGGGAACAGGUUGGAGAUUUUAGGUCAAGCUACUGGAAAACCAUUCUGGAGUGUAAUUAGCAGUCUUCGAAAGGGAGGUAAGAAGGAAAUGUCAAGUAUUUUGGACAGGUCAGUAAAACUGCUGGUGAAUCCUGUGGAUUCCUUGGGCAGAUGGAGGGAAUCUUUUGAAGAGUUGCUCAAUGUAGAUGAAAAUAUGAUCAGUAAUAUGUCAGAUUUCGAUGUACAAUGGGAUAGGAAUGAUGAUGGAAAUAGGAUCACAUUUGAGGAAGUGGAGAAAAUAGUCAGUAGAUUGCAGGGCAGUAAAGCAGCUGAGGUGGAAUGUCAGGUCUUAAAUGGCUACACAGGAUAAUUGAAAUGGCCUGGGAGUCGGGACAGGUUCCAUCAGACUGGAAAAAAGCAGUAAUCACACCAAUCUUUGAACAUGGAAACAGAAAAGAUUGUAACAACUACAGAGGUAUCUCUUUAAUCAGCGUUGUGGGUAAAAUCUUCUCAGGUAUUGUCGAAAGGAAAGUGCUAGUAUCAGCUGAGGACCAAUUGGAUGAAAAUUACUGUGGGUUUAGGCCUCUUAGAGGUUGUCAGGACCAGAUCUUUAGCUUACAGCAAAUAAUGGAGAAGUGUUAUGAGUGGAACAGGGAAUUGUAUCUAUGCUUUAUAGAUCUAGAAAAGGCAUAUGACCGGGUUCCUAGGAGGAAGUUAUUGUCUGUUCUACGAGAUUAUGUAAUAGGAGGAAAACUUUUGCAAGCAAUUAAAGGUCUUUACAUGGAUAGUCAGGCAGCAGUUAGACGGUAAAUUGAGUUCAUGGUUCGGAGUAGUUUCAGGGGUAAGACAAGGCUGCAACCUGUCUCCACUGUUGUUAAUAUUAUUUAUGGAUCAUAUGUUGAAAACAAUAGACUGCCUGGGCGAGAUUAAGAUAUGUGAACACAAAAUAAGCAGUCUUGCAUACGCGGAUGACUUCGUUGUGAUGGCAGAUUUGAUUGAAAGUUUGCAAAGUAAUAUUUCAGAGCUAGAUCAGAAAUGUAAGGACUAUGGUACAAAGGUUAGCAUCCCCAAAACGAAAGUAAUGUCAGUGGGAAAGAGAGAUGAACGGAUUGAGUGCUAAAUAGGAGGAACAAAGUUAGAACAGGUGGACGGUUUCAAGUACUUAGGAUGCAUAUUCUCGCAGGAUGGCAACAUAGUGAAAGAACUGGAAGCGAGGUGUAGCAAAGCUAAUGCAGUGAGUGCUCAGCUAUGAUCUACUCUCUUCUGCAAGAAGGAAGUCAGUACCAAGACUAAGUUAUCUGUGUACUGUUCAAUCUUUCAACCUACUUUGUUGUAUGGGAGUGAAAGCUGGGUGGAUUCAGGUUACCUUAUCAAUAAGGUUGAGGUUACGGAUAUGAAAGUAGCUAGGAUGAUUGCAGGUGCUAGUAGAUGGGAACAAUGGCAGGAGGGUGUCCACAAUGAGGAAAUCAAAGAAAAACUGGGAAUGAACUCCAUACAUGUAGCAGUCAGGGCGAACAGGCUUAGAUGGUGGGGUCAUGUUAAACGCAUGGGAGAAGCAAGGUUACCCAAGAGACUCGUGAGUUCAGCAGUAUAGAGGGUGUGAGGAGUCGGGGCAGACCAAGGAGAAGGUACCUGGAUUCGGUUAAGAAUGAUUUUGAAGUUAUAGGCUUAACUUCAGAAGAGGCGCCAAUGUUAGCACUGAAUAGGGGAUCAUGGAGGAAUUUUAUAAGGGGGACUAUGCUCCAGACUGAACGCUGAAAGGCAUAAUCAGCCUUAGGUGGUGGUGGUGGUGGUGGUGGUGGUGGUAAAGGUGAAGGUAAAGGAUUACUCCGAAAGCUAGCAAGUUUUCUUAUUUUCUGUGUGUAUGCCAAUGGAUGACUUAAGCUUCUUCUUUUUUGUGAGUAGUCGCCUGUAAUCCAAAAGUAUUUACAUCCUGCCACAACUUUUCUACAACAUUUAAAAAUACAUUUAAUAAGCCCAGUGGCCAGCUUGACAGUCUCUUGCUGACCAAUUGGCAAAAAUAUUGAAAAUGAAAGGUUUCUACCAUUGCUGGCUCUUGUCUUCCUACAUGGUCUUUUGAAAACUGAUGCAGAUCAUAUGGGGGACAGAUCCUGAAAUGAUUUCCGAUGGAUAAUUUUAGCACCUGAGUCUGCUCCGAGACUUCAUUUCUCCAAGCUUGUGAGCUUCGGGAUAUUAUGAAGUGCCCUACCUCGACUAUGUGGAGAUCCUUUAGCACCACAUAGCUGGACUGAAACAUGCUUAUUAAAAUCAGUUUCUUUCUGUUACUGUAAAAGUGUGAAAAAUGAAUAAUGAGAACCAGGCGAAGAAGAAUAUAUGACGAUACUGUAUCUACACAAUAAUUAAUAUGACAGAUCUUUUCCAGUUUUUUAUUUUGUUUUGUUGAAGAUUACUGUCCACAAACAGCUAAAGUAUGAAUGCUGUAUUAAUGAGUGAUUCUUGUUACAUUAGAGUAUGAAAACAUUCUUCUGCUCUUCAUAGAUUAUAAUCUCUGGAACAAAAUGAAGUACGUACAAGAAUUUGGAAACAGAUAUGUGAAAUCUCAGUUUAUUAAGCAGAGCGUGGAAGUUUGAAAACUGAAAUACUAAAUUACUUCUAGAAGUGUUCAAAUAUGUAAUUUAUGAUUGUUUCUGCAAGAGUACUGUUCCUAAGAUGUAUGUAAUGGAAUGAAAAAGUUUGAGAAAUAGCCGAAGUGCUCUGACUGAAAUUGUUGUUUCUGUAAAGUUCUGUAAGUUGUUAAAUAAUGCAUUUUGUGCAAAAUAUUUUCAAUCAUUAGGCAUUUCAUUGUGCAGACUUGUCACAUCAGUAACUUGUACUGAAAUUACAUUGUAUCUAACAUUUCAGCUGUACAAAAUCAGUAUGAUAAAGUAUCAAACAAUAGAAAAACCAGAAUGGAAUAGUGGAAUUAAGAAAAAGGAUAGUGCUAUUCGCCAUAUAGAGUAGAUACUGAGGAACAGCAGGCGCAACAAAUAGACUGCUAAACAUGACCUUUCAGCCAAUAGGCCCUCUACUAAAGUGUACACACACACACACACACACACACACACACACACACACACACGUACGUACGUACGUACGUAUACUUCAGAAGAAGGCCUUUUACCUGAAAACUCAUGUUUGAGGCAGUCUUUUUAUUGUGCCUGCCUGUGAUGCAGCAUCCCCUCUACAUGGUGAGUAGCAGUUCAUGAUUUUCAUAAUAUUGUAUAACAAAUUACACUAUUUAUAUUGACUAAAAAGUACUAGGCAUGUAAAGGGUUUUGGUUAUUGCCUAUUUCAGUGUAAAUAGUGAUAUAAAAUUCUUCAUACACUAUAUAAUACAGUUCAUAGUAUAUUUCAAAACAGUGAGAGUGUAUCAGCUCUGGAUUGUUUAUGGAAGAUGAUUUUAUACUUCCUGUGCUAUAUGUAACUGCAUUUAUUUUUUCCUUUUGUCUAAAAUUUUUAAAAUUAAAUUCUUUGACCAGAAUACAAAUAGCAGAACAGAGGAGGAUCACCAGUGGGUACUGUAACUCUACAACUGUAGCAUUAGAAUGUAUAUGUAUAUUUCAAUCUUUUCCCAGAAUUUAAUAAGUGACACAUAUAGCUGAUUUUAACAGAAAAGUUUAGUUAUUAAGUGAGAUGUGGUUUUGAACAAUCAGAAUUGUUAUCCAUCAUAUAGGUGUAAUUUUUGUCUGUAGACAGGAAUUACAGAUGUGAUACUUGAUAAUUUUACUUUAUUCACUUCCAUUUGUUGUAACUAUUUUGAGAGUGCAUAUUGCUGAGUAGUGUCCAUUAAAAAGGCACAUAAUUUGCCAGUAAGUAUCCAUUUAACAAAGAAGAUGUGAAUUCAUCAAAAGUUACCUAUGUAAUAUAAUUAUCAGUGCACCUUUCCUGUAAUCUUGCUUGCUCUGUCUUAUUGGUACAGUGUAAGCAUCAAGACACUGAUAUAUGUAUAGCUCACAAUGGUGGAUCACUUUUUUUUUACACUGCCUGACAAAAAAAAAGUGAAGCAACCGCGAGACAUGGUCAGAUGUGAAUGUAACUUUGUACAUCUACACACCAGUGGCAAGUAUAUAGACGAUUAGAGUUACAGUUCUGUGAAAAAGUUAGGACAGCUAACAGGGUUCAUUACUGUUGUUAAUGUUUAGUGUUGUUAGCAGGCCUGUUAAGAUAUAUAAGGGGGCAUGAAGUGUGUCAGAUUUUGAGUGAUGACUCCAAAGGCCACUGACAUGACAUGUGAGACAAUAUUAAUAGCACCUAACUAUUUGAAAGAGGCAUCAUUCAGGGAUUCCAUUUGGCAGGCUGGUUGAAUCGUGCAUAUCCAGAUUUGUGGGGCAUUAAAUGUGACAUUGGCCUGAUAUAGGACAAUAUGGAAAUGUGAGAGCAGAAAUAACUCAUCGCCAAGCUUCUGGGCGACCACAUCUUAUGACCGCAAGGGAGGAUCACCAUGUUUUGCAGCGACGCCUUUGCGGCUGUGCGUGCCAUCAGAGAAUAAGUGAUGGACUCUGUGCAGCAUUGUGCGCCGUCCUGCACCAUUUGUUGGAGAGUAGUGGCAAUUGGACUAUGGAAUUACCAACCUGUGCGUAGGGUGCCAUUAACACAACAACACAAAUGGUUGCUAUUGGAGUGUUGCCUUGACCGAGAAGCACGGACUGCUGGUGAAUAGUGUCACAUUGUGCUCAGAGAUGAAUUGUGCUCCUGCACUAUCCCAUAUGACUGUCGUCGGUGCGUACAGAGGUGACUUGGGGAGCAGUCCCAUCCUCUUAAUGUUUUGGUGAUCCGCAGUGACAUUUCGCCAGUCGUGGUGCGGGGACCCAUCGGUUAUGGCUUGAGGUCAUGGCUGGUAGUGAUGCAAGGAACUCUCAGGGUACAACAGUACGUCACGGACCUACUUCAUCUUCGUGUGUUAACUCUCGUGUGACAUUAUUGUGAUGCCAUUUUUCAACAGAACAGUGCUCGUCUACACAUUGAAUGUGCAUAUAUGAAAUGACAGUGGGACACUGAGGUACUUAUGUGGCUAGCAAGGUCACGAAAUCCAUCCCCAGUUGAACAUGUGUGAGACCAGUUCGGAUGUCAGCUCCACACCAGUACAAUUAUUCAGGGUAUCGAGGACCAAUUACGACAACUGAGGACCAGAUUGCCUCAGGGGAGAAUAAACAGAUCUAUGACACCCUUCCCAAUCAGAUUAGCUGAUUAGCCUAGUGGACUGAAAUGUCAUUCUGCUGGUUUAAUGGGAUAUGACUAUUUUGUAAUCACAGAAAUAUCACAUCUGCUCAUGAAAUUUGUCUGGUUCCUCAUCCUCUUCUGGAUGCUUGACAUUUUUUUUCCAGGCAGUGUAUUUGUAGACAUAAUGUUAAAACUAAAAACAUGAACACCACUGGUAAUACCAGCAGUUGUAAGUUACUAUGUAGCAUAGGUUAAGUUAUUGCAUAGAGUUAAUGUGGCAGUGUUUAAUGAAAAUGUGUGGAAUGCAUAUAUUGAGAAUGUAACAUUGUCAUUGGUGCAAAUCAUUAUUUUUAUUGGCAAGUGAAUACUAGAUAGUUACUUGUAUCUGUUUGUCUUCUGUUACUUCAGAAGGUACUGACAGAUUUUUUACAGCACCAUGUUUAGGUAACCUGAAUGCAGGCUACUGUAAAAUACAUUUUACCACUGAAAUGAAUAUAGACGGUUCUUGAACCAUUGUCAUUCAUUAGAGGUAUAGUGGUGAAGGGGCUGCUUGUAUAUAUGCUGUUUGAGCUGCAAGAGAUGAUAUACACACACUCAAAUUGUUCUUCUUUCUCUCCCAACCAAUUUCUCAUUGCUUUUACAAGAAACGGAGCAGUUGCACAUUACAGCAUCCCCUUUGUUUAGUUUUUCUGUCCAUCCUGAUUUGUUUUCCGUGAUUUCCCUGUAUCACAUUCCGGGAUGGUCCCUUUGAAAGGACACGGCUGACCUCCUUCCCCAUCCUUCCUUGCUCUGAUGGGACUGAUGACCUCACUAUUUGGGCCACUCCACCAAAUCAACCAACCAACCAUUUCUCAUAAACUAGCAAUGCUGUGCUAGUGAUGACCUUUUCUAAGUAUAAAAUAGUGUCUUGCUUUGUUUGUUAACGUUAUUACCAGAUGAAAUAUUAUGCUUCUUGGAAUAAUUGUUGUUCAUUCAGCCAGAGGAAAUGUAACAGAAGCAGGAAAUUGGGAAAUGUUGGUUUGAUAACAGAGAAAAAGUUUGUAAAUAGUUUCUACCCUGUGUGUUUAAGGGUUUGCUACAGAAUUUCAUUAAAGUCAAGAAAAAUACAGCCGAUCUUUAAAUUGGUCAUUUGCUUUCUAAGUACUUAAUGUUGUUUUUUUUUUUUUAAUAACUCUGUAGAAUGUACAGCCACAUCAGCCAUACCAAUUUUAAUGUAACUUGUGUCAUUUACAUUUUAUUUUGUUCAUUCUGUAAACUGAUUUUGUUAUGUCAUUCCAUAAAAAGCCAAGUUUUGGACAUGCUCACAAUGCUGUGAGCUGCAUAUUUGACAAAAACGAUGGAGACUGUUACAUAUCACUCCACAGGAGAUGGUUUGGUCGGUGAUUGCUUUUUCAGUUCUCAGGCAGACAAACAACCCCAAUUAAGAUCUCACAUGGACAGUAUUUUGAGUAUGUAUGUUCAUUUAUGGUGAAUCUGUUUCUUGGUGCUAUCACCAAUACAACCACAACCAUCAACAGUGAACAUCAGAUCUGAAGUAGGCUGGACAAAGCAGAGGCUCACAGGCCUUGGGCAUGAAAAAAAUGUCCUGAUGCUUGCUGCAUAAUGUGUGUUCAGAAGCUGCUCCAAAUCCUCCAUCUGAAUAACCCAUCAUUUCCAAACUAUUAGUUUGGAUAUUGUAAACAGGUAACAUAUUUACAAGAACCAAUUUUACUGGACCAUCCAGCACACACAUGCCCCACUGCGACAAAUUUGACUACUUCCGAGCAGCAAGUGUUAGAACAGAAUUACCACAAAGUGCAACUGGAGCAGAGUGUAUACUGGUGACGGAAGUCAGCUUACACUUCUCACCUCUAAAUAGUGGAAGAUAUGUUUUUGACACCAUGAUAAGUUUGCCGGAUUUUGCUAUCUGCAGAAAUUAUUGAAACCAGGGAAGAUACAGCAUGUCAGACCACUAAUCUAAGGCUGGCUUUCACCACUGACUGUCAUACUGUCACUAACUUUUAAUACGGUAACAGUAGUGAAGACUAUUCCUGCCUUCUGGAAUGCACUAAUGGUUUGAGCACAUGUAGUGAUCAUUCCAUCAUCUACACUUGCAGUGAUUGUCUUAAGUGGAGUCACCCUCCACCCACAAGCAACAUCAGAAUUAAGAUGCAAACAUCAUUUAGCAGCACCAAGUUAUGGCAUUACUAAUGUGGAACAACCUGAGAGAUGCAGUAUUGGCAACUUUCAACAACCAACACAUAACAACCAUUCUAAAAGUAGAAGAAGAAGGAGCAAAGUUACAGCAGUGCUUUGCAAGUGCCUGCCUUUGUUUGUUUGGUAUUCCACCAUCUUGUACCACUUCAUGGUAUUGUGGUUUCUCACUGAGUUACUGGUUUGACCCAUUCAUCAUCAGCUGUGAUCACAUGUGAACCAUUCUUUUUUUGUCUGUGGGUGCAUUCAGCUUGGAAGAAAUAAAAUUAACUUGUUGAAUUCACACCUUGUAUUAAAUAUUUAUGCUUGAUUACCAUGUCAUUUGCCUCAAAGGAAAAACAACACAUGUAGUUUCACACUUGAUUGACAUCAGUGUCUGGCUAUUUCACUAAUCGACAUUUCUGUUUGACCUUUUCUGCAAGCAAUUCAUGUGUACACAGAUGUACAUAAGAAAGAGGAUGCUGACAGUGUACGGUGAGUGUGGGAUAGAUAGUCUGCAGUCUUCUUCAACACUGUAUCAAAUAAGUACAUACAAGGAUGUGUUACCAUCUGCCUUGUUGGCCAGUUUUACCUUGGAAGGCUGAUGACUGUGUGUUGAACCAACAUGAAUUGACAUUUAUCUGUGUCUUGUGCUCGCGUAUGUGAUCUAAUAAUGAGGUUGCAGCCAACGUGAAAUCCAAAAUUUCCCCACAGUGAACUGCAAAUUUGGUAGACAGAAGAGUGAAAUUAAAUAUUAUCUUCAAGUAUUUUUGUAUGUUCUCACUUGGCUAAUUUGAAGUUAGACAUAUUUGUGACCCCACUGAGUAUUUUCUGUAUACUUUGUAUGUAUAUUUACUGAAAAGAAUAUUUUAUGUUUGUACCUAAUAUGCGGUGCAAACAGGUUUUUUUUUCUGUAGAGGAGAAUUGAUGCCAUUAAUACUUCCAACACACUGAUUGUGUGUUUAUUUAUGUUUAUACCAAUAAAUAGAUUUUAUGAAUAAAUUCUGUGUUGACACAGCUACAACUACAGUCUGUUCAAUAUGUUAAAUGAAAUAUAUGUUGUAUAAGCUUUUAGAUUGUUAGAAAGAAGAUACAUCAAUUAUUCUAUGCUAAAUGUUUUGUAUGUUUUUGCAACACUUCUUCAUAAUUCAACAUUUUCUAGUUUAAAACGUAUAAUUAAAGAUUUUUAAAGUCUGCAAAGCAACAGACCUGCUUUUUAUUUUGUUAAUUAAAAGCUAUUAUUCAUUAACCAAAGCACAAACGAGGAAGAAGUGAAGCAAUUAUUUUCUUUAUUCUAACUUAAGUUGUACAUUAGUUCAUAAAAAGUAAUCUAAAAUAAUUGUAGAUCAUUUAUAAAUUGCAAAUGUUUUAUGUUAAACAUAUCUGUGGAAUUAAAUGAAACAAAAAGUGUUUGCGUCAAGGUGGACCCAGAAUCCCACAUUGUUUUAUGGAAACACUGACCAACAAAACAAGACUUCAUGUUACAUGACUGUUUUUUUGCUACUGCAAAAGCUUGUACAGAACCUGAAUGGUUGUUGAAAGGACUCACUGAAAGUUGUUUAAUUUACAUGCCCUCAAGAGUUUGUUGGAAAGGCUCACAGUUAUCAGUAAUUUUUAAGUGUAUAUUCACCACUGGGGAUCUCAUCUUUUGCUCUAUUGUGGAUUGUUACAUAAUCCAUUUGUUAGCCAUUGCUUUGAUUACUGUGUAAUUAGUAAAGGAUCUAGAGGUUAUUUAUAUUUUUUGUGGACUGAUUUCUUGUAUGUCUAAUAUGCUUCUAUUUUACUUUUACAAUUGUACUUAAUGUCAGUUUCUGGUAUUGUAUUUGUUUUUGCAGUACCUAUGUUCAAGGCUCAAAGUUGAGGACUAGUGCUCUCAAUAAUCACUAUUUAUUAGUAAGAUACUGUAAUCUAAUUGUUUAUGUAGUCAUUAUUUACUUUAAUCUGUGUGUCUUUUUGGGAUCUAUUAAACUUGUUUAUUUUGAAGAAAGCUGUAAAAUACCAUGUUAUCCAAGAAGCAUGGGUCAAGAUAAUAAUGAAAUAAAAUACUAUAAAAGAUUUACAA